rnacentral:lncRNA from 1 species
GGGGGGAACCAUCACCACGACCAGACCCAAAACCCACCAGUACAGCAAUUUAGACUAUCUGUGCUGUUCUCGUUGCGAGUAGAAGAAGGGAAAAGGAAUGAAUUUCUGCAUUUGAAGUGGAGGAAGAGUAUAAGAAACUAACCCCUUAAAUGAUUCAUCUUUGUAUUUUCCUAUCUGGCCAUAUAAAUCUAAAUGUAUAUACAUAUUUAAUUGUACACUAUUUAUAAAAAAGCUCUUAUGAAGCAGCCCUAUUUUAUCUGCUGAAAAUUAGCCACCCCCUGCUGCAAAAGCUGGAUUUUUUUUUUCCACUCAACAUGGAAAUACAUUCAUUCUUAUAAUUGUUCUUUUCUUUCAAAACACCUAAUAUAACAUAUGCUAGAAGACAUUAUAGUUCAUCUGCUAAGCAGUCUCUUUAUGAGUUGAGGCUUCAACGCUUUAAUGGGGAAAUUGCCAGAUUUAAGUAAAUCAUGUCACCUCCACCCAAGUAAUCAUAUUUGUUGCAGACUUCUGCUGACCUCAUCUCUACUGUAAAAACAAGAACACAUUUACAUUUUCAGCUUGAGAUAUUUGGUUCAAAUGAUUCACAAAUAGGUUGUAAUGAAAACUAAUUUUAGCCUACUCCAAAGAUACUAUUUAGGUUCUCUGUUGAUAGCAUUUACAGAUACACAAUUACUGGUUACUGUCAUUUGAACAGAUACAGCAUGUUUUCACAGAAAGCAAGCAAGCAAACUCUGAGAUCAUUUCUGUAUAAGAUACUACAUUUUGAAAUAUUACUUUCAGGGAAAAUAAAUGAAAAGCUAAACUAGAGCUAAAUGUAUGUAUUUUUUAUAAGAGGUUGCAAUUUUUUUUGUACAUAUUGUUUGCCCAGACCACUUCAUACAAGGAAUCCUUUUGGAAGUGACUUCUCACAGCAUUAUAUGCAUCACGACUUUUCCAUGUGAAAUGUUUCAAAAAAUGCUAGUUAAUAGUCUUGUGAAAUUUCAAGCAACUUUAAAAAAAAACCAAACAAAAUAAAAUCAACUUAGUUUUAUCCUAGUUAUUUCCCAAAUGCAUGAGCAAAAGCAAUACUUACACGACUUUUUGGGGGUUUUUUGGGGGGUGUUUGUUUUGUUUUUUUUACUUUUUCACAACUUUCACAUGUAGUUCUAACUCACUGUGGAAUACAAAUUCCAAACACAGGAGACCAUGGGAACUAUCCAACCAUCUAACCUAGUCUGAUGCAACAAAGAUCAGAAAACUUCAUUCAGCCACUUCCAUAACAAGAGCACACUCCCCAAUACAAAAA